UAAAAGAGCUGCAUCAAUAAACAUUGGUUGGCAUGGGUGUAUCUUAAUUACCAAUUGGUGUCACUUUAUUUACUUAAUUUUUCGUGUAUUAAUAUGCCUGCACAAUAAAUGUAUUAUAUUGGAAAAUUCGAAUGAUGCAGGCUUGUUAAAGGCGGUUUUGCAGUCCUCGCACGUAGUUCCUAGCAGCUCGCUGCGAGUCACUUUCAUCCAAUCACAAUGCAAAACAGUUAAUUUUAAUUAGAUGCAAGCACUCGCGGCGAGGAGCUUCGUGCGAGGACUGGAAAACCGCCUUAAGUACUGCUAAUUAACAAUUAUUCGCCGAAGGCGAGGUGAUUAUCGGUGAAUAAAAACCGAGACGAAGUCGAGGUUUUUAUUCACGAUAAUCACCGAGCCUGAGGUGAAUAAUUGUUUUAGUAUAAUUUCAUAGGUGAUUAUUUGGAAAAAAUAAGAAAAUACACAUUUCUUCAUCAUUUAAUUGACAAAAAGGCUUCGGCCGCCAUUUUGAAAAUCGCUUAGGUGAUUAUCGCGUAAUAAUCACCUCAACGGCAACCAAUCAGCGUGGAGAAUAAUCACCUAUGUAAUUAUACUAACAACGAAUAAUAGGCAAUUCCAACUUUUAAUAUAUGCGCCCAGGGGGUGACGGGAAGUAAGGUAUCAUAUUGCUGAUUGUGCUGAAAAAUUUCAAUAAAAACUGCCGAAACAACGAAAUAUUGUAUAAGCUAUCACGGCGUGAUAGCUUAUACUUUAUUUUUUCAGCAUAAUCAGCAAUAUGAUACCUUGCUUUGCACCCCCCCCCCCCCCCCUCCUGCACACAUAAACUAAAAGCUGGAAUUGCAUAAAAUUAUUGUAAUACCUUUGAUUUAAGAUAUCUUAUUCUGCGCAAAUGUGUUACCAGUUGUGACUUUAAUUAAAGUAUUAAUUUGCUUUAGAUUAGGUGUAAACUUGACGUUUUUAAUAAAUCUCUUUUGUAGGAAGGGAAAGAUAAUUAAGAUAUUCAUGAUAUGUAUAAGCGCUAAUAGCCUGGGUAUAAACAAUAUAUAUAAACAAUCCUUUAAUUUGUAAUUUUUGCCCCAUAUUUCUAUGUUCUGAUAAAAUAUUUUACCAAUACACUCAUAAAUAUUUGUGAAUGAAACACAUGAUCAUGCGAGGAAAAUAAACCGAAUCAGUUUUAAUAUGAAGGGGAUUGAGGCUUAUUAAACUUCUCUAAGGAGGGUGGGGGUGGGGGUGGGGUAUUAGAGAAGGCAACUUCCCUGAAAUUAGCCGUGAAUAAAGAAUUAAGGUGACUAGUUUUGGCCAUCUUUCGAAAUAAUUAUUUUAUAUUAAAAUGAAUAUGGUUGCAAAUCAUUGUAACAACUAUUAUAAUACUUUGACUGCUUUCUCGGGAAAGUUAAUUAAUGAGUACAAUUUCAUAACAUAUAGCAUGAAACGGCUUUUUGCGUUUACAGUCAUUCCAGGGAAUUAUUUGGUGUCUUCACCUUCUUCGUCGCUUCCCCCUGAACAUAUCUAAGUUGUCUGCACGCUUCCCUUGCAUUCCCUCGCGCACUAGCUCUAUCAGGGGAAUAUACCUGGGUGGCAGAACUGCCUCGACAACUCCAUGUAUACCAGCCAGUUUUUCCGUCUUGUUUAAGAUUAUACGGUCUUCUAAAUAGCCAACUUGACGACGGACAAGGAAACUCUUCAAUAAGAAAAAUUAAAAUAUAAUUAAAAUAUUAUUAAAAUAAAU
rnacentral:lncRNA from 1 species